CAGGACGUUUGCGUUUUUUACCUUUAGAACGAUAGGACAUUUGCGCUUUAAAUUUUGAAUCACCUGUAUUAAAUUGACCGGUCAUUUGCGCUGUUUUCCUAUUAUCGCCCACCUGUGUUAUUAAUGAGAAGUUAUAUUACGUAAAUGAAUUUAACUUAAAUGUGUCUUUAUUACGACAAAUGGUCCAGAAUCCUUCUAUGACCACUAUAAUGAACAGUUCUGCUCUCUAAUCCUGCUAUAUUCAUCCUUUUGAAGAGUAUCAUUUUACAACAGUCGGUAAAUUACAUAAAGAUUCAUUAUAGAGAUGAACAGGCACCCCAGAAUCGAAAAAGAGAACUUGAUUAUUUAUUUGAAAUAUGGGCGAAAUACCAGUCAGAACAAAUAACAAGAGCGAUAUUUGUAUAUAAUCUUUUAAACAUAUAUCAAUGUGCUAUGAAAUGAUCUAUGUGAUGAUUAUUUAACUUUUAACUCGGCC
rnacentral:lncRNA from 1 species